rnacentral:rRNA from 1 species
CCUACGGGGGGCAGCAGUGGGGAAUAUUGGACAAUGGGCGAAAGCCUGAUCCAGCCAUGCCGCGUGUGUGAAGAAGGCCUUCGGGUUGUAAAGCACUUUCAGUGGGGAAGAAAGCCUUGGGGCUAAUACCCUCGAGGAAGGACAUCACCCACAGAAGAAGCACCGGCUAACUCCGUGCCACCAGCCGCGGUAAUACGGAGGGUGCGAGCGUUAAUCGGAAUUACUGGGCGUAAAGCGCGCGUAGGCGGUCUGAUAAGCCGGUUGUGAAAGCCCCGGGCUCAACCUGGGAACGGCAUCCGGAACUGUCAGGCUAGAGUGCAGGAGAGGAAGGUAGAAUUCCCGGUGUAGCGGUGAAAUGCGUAGAGAUCGGGAGGAAUACCAGUGGCGAAGGCGGCCUUCUGGACUGACACUGACGCUGAGGUGCGAAAGCGUGGGUAGCAAACAGGAUUAGAUACCCGAGUAGUC